GACGAACGCUGGCGGCGUGCUUAACACAUGCAAGUCGAACGGAAAGGCCCUGCUUUUGUGGGGUGCUCGAGUGGCGAACGGGUGAGUAACACGUGAGUAACCUGCCCUUGACUUUGGGAUAACUUCAGGAAACUGGGGCUAAUACCGGAUAGGAGCUCCUGCUGCAUGGUGGGGGUUGGAAAGUUUCGGCGGUUGGGGAUGGACUCGCGGCUUAUCAGCUUGUUGGUGGGGUAGUGGCUUACCAAGGCUUUGGCGGGUAGCCGGCCUGAGAGGGUGACCGGCCACAUUGGGACUGAGAUACGGCCCAGACUCCUACGGGAGGCAGCAGUGGGGAAUAUUGCACAAUGGGCGGAAGCCUGAUGCAGCAACGCCGCGUGCGGGAUGAGGGCCUUCGGGUUGUAAACCGCUUUCGCCUGUGACGAAGCGUGAGUGACGGUAAUGGGUAAAGAAGCACCGGCUAACUACGUG
rnacentral:rRNA from 1 species